rnacentral:tRNA from 1 species
GGGUGCGUAGCUCAGUUGGCGAGAGCGCUGCCCUUACAAGGCAGAGGUCGGGGGUUCGAAGCCCUCCGCACCCA